rnacentral:SRP_RNA from 1 species
GCCGGGCGCAGUGUUGCAUGCCUGUGGUCCCAGCUACUUGGGAUGCUGAGGCUGGAGGAUCGCUUGAGCCAAGGAGUUCUGAGCUGUAGUGUGCUAUGCCAAUCGGGCAUCCAUGCUAAGUUCGGCAUCAAUAUGGUGACCUCCCGGGAGUGGAGGACCACCAGGUUGCCUAAGGAGGGGUGAACCAGGCCAGGUCGGAAAUGGAGCAGGUCAAAACUCCUGUGCUGAUCAGCAAUGGGAUGGCACCUGUGAAUAGCCACUGCACUCCAGCCUGGGCAACAUAGGGAGACCCUGUCUCU